UGUGAUUAACACAUUUUGUGAUUAAUGUCAUUUUGUAAUUAACUCUCUCAUUGAUUCAUUUUGUGAUUAACUGUGUUUUAAAUCACUCAGGUUCAGGUAUGAUGUCGACAACAAACAGAGCCAUUGAAUUGAGUGUUAAAAUAUUCCACUGUUUUCUCCCUGCAGAUCCAAACAUCAYCGUCACUGAACCCACAGUGAAAGUCCUWSCACCCUCCACUAAGGAGUGUGAAGACAMAAACAAGAAGAAGAAGAAGACCCUGGUGUGUGUGGUCACCCACUUCUACCCCGACCACGUCACGGUCUACUGGCAAGUCAACAAUGUCAACACAACUGCAGGCGCCGGGACCGACAACAAGGCCUUGUGGGAUAAAGAUAGUUUAUACAGUAUCACCAGCAGACUGAGAGUCCCAGCCAAUGACUGGCACAACCCAAAGAACAGUUUCACCUGCAAUGUCAUCUUUUACAAUGGGACUGGAAAUACAACUGCGAAACACACCAUUAGUGGAGAUCUCCAWGGUCAAAUUGGGGGAGAGAUACAGUAUGCAGAGGUCAUCAGUACAC